rnacentral:rRNA from 1 species
GCCGCGUGAUGAUGAAGCCUUCGGUGUAAGCGCUCUGUCAAACGGGAAGAACCUGUCUUAUGUUAAUACCAUCUUUACUUGCCGGUACCGUUGAAGGAAGCACCGGCUAAGUCCGUGCCCGCGGCCGCGGUAAUA